UAGCUUAUUGGUAGAGCAUAGCCUUGCCAAGGAUGAGGUUGAGGGUUCAAGUCCCUC
rnacentral:tRNA from 1 species